UCAGUUUGAUCAUGGCUCAGGAUGAACGCUAGCGACAGGCCUAACACAUGCAAGUCGAGGGGCAGCGGAGAGGUAGCAAUACCUUUGCCGGCGACCGGCGCACGGGUGAGUAACACGUAUGCAAUCCACCUGUAACAGGGGGAUAACCCGGAGAAAUCCGGACUAAUACCCCAUAAUAUGGGCGCUCCGCAUGGAGAGCCCAUUAAAGAGAGCAAUUUUGGUUACAGACGAGCAUGCGCUCCAUUAG
rnacentral:rRNA from 1 species